rnacentral:rRNA from 1 species
GACGAACGCUGGCGGCGUGCUUAACACAUGCAAGUCGAACGGUAAGGCCCUUCGGGGUACACGAGUGGCGAACGGGUGAGUAACACGUGGGUGAUCUGCCCUGCACUUCGGGAUAAGCCUGGGAAACUGGGUCUAAUACCGGAUAGGACUCCUGGCUUCAUGGUUGGGGGUGGAAAGCUUUUGCGGUGUGGGAUGGGCCCGCGGCCUAUCAGCUUGUUGGUGGGGUAAUGGCCUACCAAGGCGACGACGAGUAGCCGGCCUGAGAGGGUGACCGGUCACACUGGGACUGAGAUACGGCCCAGACUCCUACGGGAGGCAGCUGUGGGGAAUAUUGCACAAUGGGCGCAAGCCUGAUGCAGCGACGCCGCGUGAGGGAUGACGGCCUUCGGGUUGUAAACCUCUUUCAGCUAUGACGAAGCGCAAGUGACGGUAGUAGCAGAAGAAGGACCGGCCAACUACGUGCCAGCCGCCGCGGUAA